AUAAAGAAAAAAUGAUUAUUAUCAAUUUUGAUAUUUUUGAUUUAAUUUUUAAGUAUUUAAAGUAUUUUACAUUUUUUGACUUUUGUUUUGUUUAAUUGAAUAAUAAUUUCACUACAGUGUACAGUAUACAAAUUUCAAAUCUAAACAGUUCUCCUUAGAUGUGGUUUUUGUGCAAUGUAUAGACAAAGAAUUAAAAUCAUCGCAAAAAACAAGUUAAUAUCAUGCUAUCUACAACAAUUACAUGCCUACUCAAUUCAUCUUUAGUCAGCAAGAUACAAUAGUUGACAUAGGCAUUUGUCCAGGACAAUAAGGAGAUUAUUCUGUUUUGAAAAAAGCUUUUUACUAACAAAUGUUAAGUUGUAAACUUACACAAGUCCCAUCUCUAUUAUUCAACAAUGUAUUCUUCAGUUCAUAAUUUUUUUAUAUCAUAUGGUUAUAUUUUUUAUUUUUUAAUGUAUAUUUUAUUUUAUUUUUUUGUUUGUGUAUAAUGGCAAAUAUAAGCCAUAAAUAAUAUAUAUAUUUUUAUUUCAUCAUUAUAAUUUUUAAAAGAUUUAUAAAAUCACAAUUUUAUUAUUUAUACAUUUUUUAUGUGUGUAUCUUAUGUAACUAUUUACCUUAAACCUAAAAUACAUAAUAUAGGUUUAAGCAAGUAAAUACAAUUUUUAAGUUUUA